GGGGAAUUGUUCGCAAUGGGCGCAAGCCUGACGACGCAACGCCGCGUGGAGGAUGAAGAUUUUCGGAUCGUAAACUCCUGUCGAAUGGGACGCAUAGAUUGCGGGUUAACAGCCCGCGAUCAUGACGGUACCGUUAAAGGCAACCCCGGCUAACUCUGUGCCAGCAGCCGCGGUAAUACAGAGGGUGCGAGCGUUAAUCGGAAUUACUGGGCGUAAAGGGCGCGUAGGCGGCUAUAUAAGUUAUGUGUGAAAUCUCUGGGCUUAACCUGGGAACUGCCCAUAAUACUGUGUAGCUAGAGUAGAGUAGAGGAAAGUGGAAUUUCCGGUGUAGCGGUGAAAUGCGUAGAUAUCGGAAGGAACACCAGUGGCGAAGGCGGCUUUCUGGACUCAUACUGACGCUGAGGCGCGAAAGCGUGGGGAGCAAA
rnacentral:rRNA from 1 species